AGUGAACGCUGGCGGUAGGCCUAACACAUGCAAGUCGAACGGCAGCACAGUAAGAGCUUGCUCUUACGGGUGGCGAGUGGCGGACGGGUGAGGAAUACAUCGGGAUCUACUUUUUCGUGGGGGAUAACGUAGGGAAACUUACGCUAAUACCGCAUACGACCUACGGGUGAAAGCAGGGGAUCUUCGGACCUUGCGCGAUUGAAUGAGCCGAUGUCGGAUUAGCUAGUUGGCGGGGUAAAGGCCCACCAAGGCGACGAUCCGUAGCUGGUCUGAGAGGAUGAUCAGCCACACUGGAACUGAGACACGGUCCAGACUCCUACGGGAGGCAGCAGUGGGGAAUAUUGGACAAUGGGCGCAAGCCUGAUCCAGCCAUACCGCGUGGGUGAAGAAGGCCUUCGGGUUGUAAAGCCCUUUUGUUGGGAAAGAAAAGCAGCAGGUUAAGACCCCGCUGUUCUGACGGUACCCAAAGAAUAAGCACCGGCUAACUUCGU
rnacentral:rRNA from 1 species